AUUGAACGCUGGCGGCAUGCCUCACACAUGCAAGUCGAACGGUAACGCGGGGCAACCUGGCGACGAGUGGCGAACGGGUGAGUAAUGCAUCGGAACGUGCCCAGAAGUGGGGGAUAGCCCGGCGAAAGCCGGAUUAAUACCGCAUGAGACCUGAGGGUGAAAGCGGGGGAUCGCAAGACCUCGCGCUUUUGGAGCGGCCGAUGUCAGAUUAGCUAGUUGGUGGGGUAAAGGCCUACCAAGGCGACGAUCUGUAGCUGGUCUGAGAGGACGACCACCCACACUGGGACUGAGACACGGCCCAGACGCCUACGGGAGGCAGCAGUGGGGAAUGUUGGACAAUGGGCGCAAGCCUGAUCCAGCCAUGCCGCGUGCGGGAAGAAGGCCUUCGGGUUGUAAACCGCUUUUGUCAGGGAAGAAAUGCUCUGGGCUAAUACCCUGGGGUAAUGACGGUACCUGAAGAAUAAGCACCGGCUAACUACGUGCCAGCCGCCGCGGUAA
rnacentral:rRNA from 1 species